rnacentral:rRNA from 1 species
UUCGGAGGGUGCAAGCGUUGUCCGGAAUCACUGGGCGUAAAGGGCGCGUAGGCGGCUCAUGAAGGCUGUGGUGAAAGUCCGGGGCUCAACCUCGGAUCGGCCGUGGCGACUCGUGGGCUGGAGCACUGUAGAGGCGGGUGGAAUUCCGGGUGUAGCGGUGGAAUGCGUAGAGAUCCGGAAGAACACCAGUGGCGAAGGCGGCCCGCUGGGCAGUGGCUGACGCUGAGGCGCGACAGCGGUGGGGAGCAAACGA